rnacentral:rRNA from 1 species
AUUGAACGCUGGCGGCAUGCUUUACACAUGCAAGUCGAACGGCAGCGCGGGCUUCGGCCUGGCGGCGAGUGGCGAACGGGUGAGUAAUGCAUCGGAACGUGCCCAGUAGUGGGGAAAGCCCCGCCAAAGCCGGAUUAAUUCCGGAUACGGCCCGAGGGGGGAAGCGGGGGACCCAAAGGCCCCGCGCUAUUGGAGCGGCCGAUGGCGGAUUAGCCAGUUGGUGGGGUAAAGGCUUACCAAGGCGACGAUCCGUAGCUGGUCUGAGAGGACGACCAGCCACACUGGGACUGAGACACGGCCCAGACUCCUACGGGAGGCAGCAGUGGGGAAUUUUGGACAAUGGGGGCAACCCUGAUCCAGCCAUGCCGCGUGCGGGAAGAAGGCCUUCGGGUUGUAAACCGCUUUUGUUCGGGAAGAAAUCCUCUGGGCUAAUACCCCGGGGGGAUGACGGUACCGGAAGAAUAAGCACCGGCUAACUACGUG